rnacentral:rRNA from 1 species
AACGAACGCUGGCGGCAUGCCUAACACAUGCAAGUCGAACGAAGGCUUCGGCCUUAGUGGCGCACGGGUGCGUAACGCGUGGGAAUCUGCCCUUUGCUUCGGAAUAACAGUUAGAAAUGACUGCUAAUACCGGAUGAUGUCGCAAGGCCAAAGAUUUAUCGGCAAAGGAUGAGCCCGCGUAGGAUUAGCUAGUUGGUGGGGUAAAGGCCUACCAAGGCGACGAUCCUUAGCUGGUCUGAGAGGAUGAUCAGCCACACUGGGACUGAGACACGGCCCAGACUCCUACGGGAAGCAGCAGUGGGGAAUAUUGGACAAUGGGCGAAAGCCUGAUCCAGCAAUGCCGCGUGAGUGAUGAAGGCCUUAGGGUUGUAAAGCUCUUUUACCCGGGAUGAUAAUGACAGUACCGGGAGAAUAAGCUCCGGCUAACUCCGUG